rnacentral:rRNA from 1 species
UACGGAGGGGGCUAGCGUUGUUCGGAAUUAGCUGGGCGUAAAGCGCACGUAGGCGGCUUUGUAAGUUAGAGGUGAAAGCCCUGGGCUCAACCUGGGAAUUGCAGUGGAUACUGGCAAGCUAGAGUACGGUAGAGGAUGGUGGAAUUCCCGGUGUAGCGGUGAAAUGCGUAGAGAUCGGGAAGAAUACCAGUGGCGAAGGCGUUCUGCUGGGCCGUUGCUGACACUGAGGCGCGACAGCGUGGGGAGCAAACAGG